CCUUUUCUUUAUCACGCUACAGAAGAGGAGGCUGAAGAACCAGCAACAGGAGCCAGUGACAGGGUUUGCAACAGCACAGAGCCCUCAGCACAAGACCCUGAAGAGCAGAGAGUGAACAUGCUGUCCAUGGCUGUGUUGGGUUUGAGAGUCCUGCUGGCAAAGAGCAUCGCCUUCAAUGCCCUCAUGAGUAUCAAGCUGUUUCUUUUCUGAGUGAACCCAAAGAAGAGCAGGAAAGAACAUGAACCAGCAGCACAAGGGGGUUGAACAAGCAGGGGCAGCGCUGCUGACAGACACCACCCAGGACACAAGGCAGCACCUUCCCCUGAAGACAUGGAACACUGUGCACUCCUGCCUGGCCAGCUGAGUUACACUGAAGAGUUUGAAGUGCUUUGGCUGUUUCCCCUCCUCUGAACACUGAGGAGAGUGGAUUUAUCCUCAUUCUCCUGCUAAGCAGAUCUCCCCACUCUUCUGGCAUUUGCACACCAGUGUCCAGCCUGCUUCAGCAGCUUUGAAAGCUCCAGUGCUCACUCUAGGUAGAUGGCCUUUGAAAAGCACCUUUCCCAGGCAUGUUGUCUUUCUGCCUGUGGAACUGGAGUAGCACUGCUGAGGGAAUUCCAGCCCUGUAGAUAGAGUUAGUGGUAGAUAGAUUUAAUAAGUGUGUAUUGCAGAUAGGAAGAGCUGUAUAAGAUCGGAAGUGAUUUCAUUCAACUAGACAAUGCUCAUUUAUUAACCUGUAUUUCUUCUGCCAAAUGUAUUGCACGUGCAUUUCAGCUUCCUGCAGUAGUGACAAAAAUAAAGAUGUACCAGGCCAAAA